rnacentral:rRNA from 1 species
AGAACGAACGCUGGCGGCAGGCCUCAAACAUGCAAGUCUAGGGGGUGUAGCAAUACAUCACCGGCGGACGGGUGCGUAACACGUGGGAAUAUACCUUUUGGUUCGGAACAACGCAGGGAAACUUGCGCUAAUACCGAAUGUGCCCUUACGGGGAAAGAUUUAUCGCCAAAGGAUUAGCCCGCGUAGGAUUAGCUAGUUGGUGAGGUAAUAGCUCACCAAGGCUCCGAUCCUUAGCUGUUCUGAGAGGAAGAUCAGCCACACUGGGACUGAGACACGGCCCAGACUCCUACGGGAGGCAGCAGUUGGGAAUCUUGGACAAUGGGGGAAACCCUGAUCCAGCCAUGCCGCGUGAGUGAUGAAGGCCUUCGGGUUGUAAAACUCUUUCGACGGGGACGAUAAUGACGGUACCCGUAGAAGAGCUCCGGCUAACUUCGCGCCAGCACGCCGC